rnacentral:misc_RNA from 1 species
UACGUAGGUGGCAAGCGUUGUCCGGAAUUAUUGGGCGUAAAGCGCGCGUAGGCGGUUUCUUAAGUCUGAUGUGAAAUCUUGCGGUUUAACCGCAAGUGGCUAUUGGAAACUGAGGAACUUGAGUACAGAAGAGGAGAGCGGAAUUCCACGUGUAGCGGUGAAAUGCGUAGAUAUGUGGAGGAACACCAGUGGCGAAGGCGGCUCUCUGGUCUGUAACUGACGCUGAGGCGCGAAAGCGUGGGGAGCAGACAGG